UCUACGGGUGGCAGCAGUGAGGAAUAUUGGUCAAUGGGCGAGAGCCUGAACCAGCCAAGUCGCGUGAGGGAGUACUGCCCUAUGGGUCGUAAACUUCUUUUAUAAAGGAAUAAAACGAGGCACGUGUGCCUUUUUGCAUGUACUUUAUGAAUAAGGAUCGGCUAACUCCGUGCCAGCAGCCGCGGUAAUACGGAGGGUCCGAGCGUUAUCCGGAUUUAUUGGGUUUAAAGGGAGAGUAGAUGGGUUGUUAAGUCAGUUGUGAAAGUUUGCGGCGCAACCGUAAAAUUGCAAUUGAUACUGGCAGUCUUGAGUACAGUUGAGGUAGGCGGAAUUCGUGGUGUAGCGGUGAAAUGCUUAGAUAUCACGAAGAACCCCGAUUGCGAAGGCAGCUUACGAAACUGUGACUGACAUUGAUGCUCGAAAGUGUGGGUAUCAAACAGGAUUAGAUACCCGGGUAGUC
rnacentral:rRNA from 1 species